rnacentral:rRNA from 1 species
UACGAAGGGGGCUAGCGUUGCUCGGAAUCACUGGGCGUAAAGGGUGCGUAGGCGGGUCUUUAAGUCAGGGGUGAAAUCCUGGAGCUCAACUCCAGAACUGCCUUUGAUACUGAAGAUCUUGAGUUCGGGAGAGGUGAGUGGAACUGCGAGUGUAGAGGUGAAAUUCGUAGAUAUUCGCAAGAACACCAGUGGCGAAGGCGGGUCUCUGGACAGUUCCUGACGCUGAGGCGCGAAGGCCAGGGGAGCAAACGGG